rnacentral:rRNA from 1 species
UGACCUCGGAUCAGGUAGGAAUACCCGCUGAACUUAAGCAUAUCAAUAAGCGGAGGAAAAGAAACCAACAGGGAUUGCCUCAGUAACGGCGAGUGAAGCGGCAACAGCUCAAAUUUGAAAUCUGGCCCUAGGCCCGAGUUGUAAUUUGCAGAGGAUGCUUUUGGCGCGGUGCCUUCCGAGUUCCCUGGAACGGGACGCCAUAGAGGGUGAGAGCCCCGUCUGGUCGGACACCAAGCCUCUGUAAAGCUCCUUCGACGAGUCGAGUAGUUUGGGAAUGCUGCUCAAAAUGGGAGGUAUAUGUCUUCUAAAGCUAAAUACCGGCCAGAGACCGAUAGCGCACAAGUAGAGUGAUCGAAAGAUGAAAAGCACUUUGGAAAGAGAGUUAAACAGCACGUGAAAUUGUUAAAAGGGAAGCGUUUAUGACCAGACUUGGGCCGGUUGAUCAUCCAGCGUUCUCGCUGGUGCACUCUGCCGGUCCAGGCCAGCAUCAGUUCGCUGCGGGGGAUAAAGGCGUCGGGAAUGUGGCUCCUCGGAGUGUUAUAGCCCUUCGCGCAAUACCCUGUGGCGGACUGAGGUUCGCGCAUUCGCAAGGAUGCUGGCGUAAUGGUCAUCAACGACCCGUCU